UUCUAGUAUACUCAGUUAUGCGAUUUGAUAGUGGUGACGCACAUUUUCAUUACCUAAAAAAAAUAAUCUUCCCCAUUAGCAGUCAUUCCUCAUCACCCCCCCAACCUUCUAGCAACCCCCAACCUACUUUUCUGUCUCCACGGAUUUUUAAUUAAUUUCUUGUUACACAAUAUACAUAGCAUCAAAUAUUAGAAUGCAUCCCUCCGCAUGACUGAAAAGAAAUAAAACCCGAGGCAGCUUUGAUUUGGUAUUCAGGUAGAGAAUCAGUCUCCUUGCUCUGUGACCUUGGACAAGUUGUUGAACUGGAUUUCUUUUCUUCGUAAGAUGAAGAAGUUUAGACGGUGUGUGAGGGCGCCUUCAGGUUAAAAAAUAAACCAGCAAAAACAAAAAACAAAAGAAACCCACUGGCUAUAAUCCAAUACUCCACCCUAGGUAGCCCUUCCUGGGCUUUCUUAUUAAUAAAUGUCUUUCUAUCAUUAAGAUUUCACACCAGAACUGCGGCAGCCCGCUGCCCUCCCCGCGAAGGGCCCUACAGAAGAUGUUUCCUCUUUUUCUUCUUGGCCGUUUAGUGAUUUCUGGGCUGGCCGAGGAGAGAGAAACUGCAGAGCCCAGGAGCGGAGGCUCAGCGCGCGCCGUACCCGCAGGAAGCCUCGCCCAGCCCGGGACCCCACCCUCCCGCGGAGCCCCUGGAGAGAGCCGGCCGCGGCGCGCGCCACCAGCGCGGGAGGGGCGCGGCGCGCGGGGGCGGAGCCAGCGACUUCCGCAGCCAAUCCUGGCGGCGGCGCGUCCCGGGGGCCCGCGGCUCGCCGGGCGCGCAGGGGGCGGGGCUCCGCUUGACAGUGGCGGUCGCCGGGCAGCAGAGUCGGGGCUCAGCGAGUGGAGCGCAGCUCAGGCAGCGCGAGCUGCACAGGCGGCGGCGGCGGUGGUGGCACCCGAUCUCCGCUGGAUCCGGCUCUCGGCUCAGCGAAGUAGCCCCUCGCAGCGGCGGCGGAGGCGUGCGGGCGAUGCUGUGGGUCUCCUCGGGCGCCGGUGUCCUGGCCUCUUCCUAAAGGAGAAAGUUUGAUGCUGAGACUUGAGGAGACAGACUCGGGGGUCCCUGAGGCCCGCACCUUUAAAGAGAGUCAGAGCACCCUGUUGAGGACGUCUGUGUUCUGAAUAUGGGCAUGCAGGAACCCAUGCCACUUUUCUGACCCAAGCAGCAUUCCUGACACAGGCCCUUUCUUGAGGAAAUUUCUCUGUGGGAAUCCCCCUUAGGGAGGGGCUUUCGGAUACAGGGCAUCCAGAGCCCCUACCUUAUGGCUUUGGCUUGAAAAGAGUGCAGCAGGUAGUCAGUAUCCCCCACGUUCUCUCCCCCUAGAACGGGGCGCCACCAAUAUCUAUGCUCUAAGAGCUUCAAAAAUUUAAGUCGGCCUUCUAAUUAAA
rnacentral:lncRNA from 1 species